GACGAACGCUGGCGGCGUGCUUAACACAUGCAAGUCGAACGGAGUGGCGAACGGGUGAGUAACGCGUAAUCAACCUGCCCUUCAGGGGGGGACACCAGUUGGAACCGACUGCUAAUCCCGCAUACUGAAGGAGGGGAUUGUGUCGGAUUAGGUAGUUGGGGGGGUAACGGCCCACCAAGUCGAUGAUCAGUAGCCGGUCUGAGGGGAUGAACGGGCAAAUUGGGACUGAGACACGGCCCCGACUCCUACGGGAGGCAGCAGUGGGGAAUUUUCCGCAAUGGACGAAAGUCUGACGGAGCAACGCCGCGUUGGUGAUGACGGCCUUCGGGUUGGAAAGCUCUGUUAAUCGGGACGCGGUACCGGAAUAGAAAGCCACGGCUAACUACGUGCCAGCCGCCGCGGUAAUAC
rnacentral:rRNA from 1 species